rnacentral:lncRNA from 1 species
GCAUCUGGAUAAAAACAUGGAAGCGUCGUUAUUUUGAAAAUCCAAGUGAUCAGGAGACAUUUCUAUCCGAUUGGAUGAAGUUGAUAAACUCUCAUGAUGAAUCGUUAUCUGAUGAAGCUUGGCGUCUGUUUGAGGUUCAAAGUAAAGAAUUUGUGCUGGUUCUUAACUACAUCGAAAGAACUUGGCUGCCAUUCGAAGAGAAUUUUGGCAGUUCAUGGAUGAAAAAUAC